UGAGGAAUAUUGGUCAAUGGACGAAAGUCUGAACCAGCCAAGUAGCGUGCAGGAUGACGGCCCUCCGGGUUGUAAACUGCUUUUAGUUGGGAAUAAAAAAAGGGACGUGUCCCUUAUUGUAUGUACCUUCAGAAAAAGGACCGGCUAAUUCCGUGCCAGCAGCCGCGGUAAUACGGAAGGUCCAGGCGUUAUCCGGAUUUAUUGGGUUUAAAGGGAGCGUAGGCGGAUUGUUAAGCCAGCGGUUAAAGGGUGUGGCUCAACCAUACAUUGCCGUUGAAACUGGCGAUCUUGAGUGCAGACAGGGAUGCCGGAAUUCGUGGUGUAGCGGUGAAAUGCUUAGAUAUCACGAAGAACUCCGAUCGCGAAGGCAGGUGUCCGGGCUGCAACUGACGCUGAGGCUCGAAAGUGUGGGUAUCAAACAGGAUUAGAUACCCUGGUAGUCCACACAGUAAACGAUGUAUACUCGCGGUUUGCGAUAGACAGUAAGCCGCCAGCGAAAGCAUUAAGUAUACCACCUGGGGAGUACGCCGGCNCGGU
rnacentral:rRNA from 1 species